rnacentral:rRNA from 1 species
GGUGCAUUGCUUCUAACCGUCUGUUCAUUCGGACAA